GGGCUUGACAUCCCACGAACCUGCCUGAAAGGGUAGGGUGCCCGCAAGGGAACGUGGAGACAGGUGGUGCAUGGCUGUCGUCAGCUCGUGUCGUGAGAUGUUGGGUUAAGUCCCGCAACGAGCGCAACCCUCACCCCUAGUUGCCACCGGGUAAAGCCGAGCACUCGAGGGGAACUGCCAGCGUCAAGCUGGAGGAAGGCGGGGAUGACGUCAAGUCAUCAUGCCCCUUACGCCCUGGGCUACACACGUGCUACAAUGGCUGGUACAAAGGGAUGCGAUACCGCGAGGUGGAGCUAAUCCCGGAAAACCAGCCUAAGUUCAGAUUGCAGUCUGCAACUCGACUGCAUGAAGGAGGAAUCGCUAGUAAUCGCGCAUCAGCACGGCGCGGUGAAUACGUUCCCAGGCCUUGUACACACCGCCCGUCACACCACGAAAGCCGGCUGUACUCGAAGUCGCUGAG
rnacentral:rRNA from 1 species